UGGCUGUGAUGAUUUCUUAGGACACCUUUGAAUGAAAUGUGAAAAUAAUUCAAAUGUUGAAAUCUGAGCCAC